rnacentral:rRNA from 1 species
CACGUAGGGGGCGAGCGUUGUCCGGAUUUAUUGGGCGUAAAGAGCUCGUAGGCGGCUCAGUAAGUCGGGUGUGAAAACUCCAGGCUCAACCUGGAGACGCCACCUGAUACUGCUGUGGCUAGAGUCCGGUAGGGGAGUGUGGAACUCCUGGUGUAGCGGUGAAAUGCGCAGAUAUCAGGAAGAACACCAGCGGCGAAGGCGGCACUCUGGGCCGGAACUGACGCUGAGGAGCGAAAGCGUGGGGAGCAAACAGG